rnacentral:rRNA from 1 species
UUUUUAUGGAGAGUUUGAUCUUGGCUCAGGACGAACGCUGG